rnacentral:snoRNA from 2 species
GGCCAAAGAUGAAAUCUGUGGAUGUACUAUUUGUAUGACGUCUGAUUACAAAACCAUUACUGCCUUCCUUCUGAGGCC